rnacentral:rRNA from 1 species
UACGUAGGGUGCAAGCGUUGUCCGGAAUUAUUGGGCGUAAAGAGCUCGUAGGUGGCCUGUUGCGUCCGCUGUGAAAACUCAGGGCUUAACCCUGAGCCGGCAGUGGAUACGGGCAGGCUAGAGGUAGGUAGGGGAGAAUGGAAUUCCUGGUGUAGCGGUGAAAUGCGCAGAUAUCAGGAGGAACACCGGUGGCGAAGGCGGUUCUCUGGGCCUUACCUGACACUGAGGAGCGAAAGCGUGGGGAGCGAACAGG